rnacentral:lncRNA from 1 species
GGAAAUAAUCUGGCGUAGGAAUAACUAAGAAAAGGUGGCAGAAGGUUAAAAAGAAAAGGGUUGCUCAGACAGCCUACGGCAAAAGAUAAAUCCACCUUUGUUCAGAGGACAGAGACCAAAGGGAUAUGGGCCACUAUCUACCAUUGGAUCGACUAUAUUGAACCUUUACCUACAGCACUAGCUAGUUUUAAAUUAUAUUGCUUGGUAUUUACACGUUCUUUCUAGUUUAAAACUUCAUCUACCCUCAGCAUAGUCCACAGUUAAUGGGCUGGAAAUACAAACUUCCAUUAAUCCUGACCCUCAAUAUUAUUUCUGUAUUAGCAGAAUAAAGAACACAUUCUAUAAAUGGGGAGGGAAGGAGUGGC